GACGAGCCUCACAAACGUUAUUCGGAAUUACUGGGCUUAAAGGGUGCGUAGGUGGCGCGGAAAGUUGGGUGUGAAAUCCCUCGGCUCAACCGAGGAACUGCGCCCAAAACUACCGUGCUCGAGGAAGAUAGAGGUGAGCGGAACUUACGGUGGAGCGGUGAAAUGCGUUGAUAUCGUAAGGAACACCCGUGGCGAAAGCGGCUCACUGGGUCUUCUCUGACGCUGAUGCACGAAAGCUAGGGGAGCAAACGGG
rnacentral:rRNA from 1 species